GACAGAGGGUGCAAACGUUGUUCGGAAUUACCGGGCGUAAAGCGAGUGUAGGCGGUUUUGUAAGUCGGGUGUGAAAGCCCUGGGCUCAACCCAGGAAGUGCACUCGAAACUGCAAGGCUAGAGUAUCGGAGAGGUUGGUGGAAUUCUCGGUGUAGAGGUGAAAUUCGUAGAUAUCGAGAGGAACACCGGUGGCGAAGGCGGCCAACUGGACGAAUACUGACGCUGAGACUCGAAAGCGUGGGGAGCAAACAGG
rnacentral:rRNA from 1 species